rnacentral:lncRNA from 1 species
GUUCACAAAAUAAAUCUGAUCUAAUAAAAGAUGGAACUAAAUCCUACAAUGUAAAACAAUUAGAUAGAAACUCCAAUUGUAGUCCGUUUAUGAGCGCAAAUAUAACCUUUCCUGUAUAUGUGAGAAAUUAUAAAUUGCAGAGAGGAAGUCAUCAGAAAGAAGACAAAAAAUUGAACCACUAAAGAAGAUUCCAUUUUCAACUAAAGUUUUUUUAUCAAUGACUUCUCCAUCUCAAACGAUAAAUGGCACAAAUGUUCCAUUUACAAUGAUAGCCCAUACUUCCAUAUCAUAGGACAUGAUAUGCAAUCUUUCCAAUAACCGUAGUUUUUGCUCGUAAAGGUUGUAGCUCGUAUAAGACCCUUUUGGUUCCGGAAAUGUCAUAGUGUACACUCUUAAAGCUGUUAAAUUAGGUCCUUUAGACAAAAGUCAAACUACUAAUACCACUUUUUACUCUAUGGUUCCCCCAAUUUAGAGGUGAUGAAUGAUUUGUAGAUCUUCACUAGAGCUUGAUACUGAAUGGAUAUAAUAGCAAAAAUAACAAUAUCUUGAAUCUUGGAGCUCAAAUACUUGUUGCAGCAAUUUAAAAGUGAUUUAGCAGAACUUCUAUCUUAAUAGUUUAUUUUAAAUAUUAGUUUAUCCUAUGUCAUUUUUACUUUUUUAGCCUCGAUGAUUGUAUUU